UGCGUAAUAGCUCACUGGUCGAGUGACUCUGCGCCGAAAAUUUAACGGGGCUAAACUAUACACCGAAGCUUGGGAUACAUCUAAUGUAUGGUAGGAGAGCGUUCUGUAUGGGGAGAAGUCGUAGCGAAAGCGGCGGUGGACUAUACAGAAGUGAGAAUGCCGGAAUAAGUAGCGAGAAUUAAGUGAGAAUCUUAAUGGCCGAAAGUCUAAGGUUUUUGGAGGAAGGUUCGUCCGCUCCAAGUAAGUCGGGAGCUAAGGUCAGGCCGAAAGGCGUAGCCGAUGCACAUACGGUUGAUAUUCCGUAACCAUCUGUAAUUUAAGCAAAGGGACACUUCAAAAGGGUGUGACCCGGGCGUUGGUUGACCCGGGCGUAAGGGACCGAAAUUAGAGUAGGGAAGCACACUUAGCUGAAGGCGAGAAAAGCUUUGCGUAUAGAAGCAGAUGCCCGUACCGCAAACCGACACAGGUGGACAGGAAGAGAAUUCUAAGGCCAGCGGGAGAAGGGUAGUUAAGGAACUCGGCAAAUUGACUCCGUAACUUCGGAAUAAGGAGUGCUCGAAAGAGCCGCAGAGAAUAGGCCCAGGCGACUGUUUAGCAAAAACACAGGUCUCUGCCAAAUCGAAAGAUGAAGUAUAGGGGCUGACACCUGCCCGGUGCCGGAAGGUUAAGAGGAGGAGUGAGAGCUCCGAAUUGAAGCCCCGGUAAACGGCGGCCGUAACUAUAACGGUCCUAAGGUAGCGAAAUUCCUUGUCGGGUAAGUUCCGACCCGCACGAAUGGUGUAACGAUCUGGGCACUGUCUCAACUACCCACCCGGCGAAAUUGUAGUACCGGUGAAGAUGCCGGUUACCUGCGGCAAGACGGAAAGACCCCAUGGAGCUUUACUGUAGCCUGAUAUUGGGUUUCGGAAAUCUAUGUACAGGAUAGGCGGGAGACUGGGAAACAUGAGCGUCAGCUUGUGUGGAGUCGAUGUUGGGAUACCGCCCUUAGGUUUCUGGAAUUCUAACCUGCGGCCGUGAAUCCGGUCGGGGGACAUUGUCAGGUGGGCAGUUUGACUGGGGCGGUCGCCUCCGAAAAGGUAACGGAGGCGCUCAAAGGUUAGCUCAGCACGGACGGAAACCGUGCCUCUGAGUGUAAACGCAAAAGCUAGCCUAACUGCGAGGGUGACGGCCCGAGCAGUAACGAAAGUUGGAGUUAGUGAUCCGGCGGUAUGUGAAUGGAAAUGCCGUCGCUCAACGGAUAAAAGCUACCCUGGGGAUAACAGGCUGAUCUCCCCCAAGAGUCCACAUCGACGGGGAGGUUUGGCACCUCGAUGUCGGCUCAUCACAUCCUGGGGCUGUAUUCGGUCCCAAGGGUUCGGCUGUUCGCCGAUUAAAGUGGUACGCGAGCUGGGUUCAGAACGUCGCGAGACAGUUCGGUCCCUAUCUGUCGUGGGCGCAGGAUAUUUGAGGAGCUCUGUCCUUAGUACGAGAGGACCGGGAUGGACGUACCUCUGGUGCACCAGUUGUCAUGCCAAUGGCACGGCUGGGCAGCUAUGUACGGAACGGAUAAACGCUGAAAGCAUCUAAGCGUGAAGCCGACUCCAAGAUUAGAUAUCCCAUCGUAUAACGAGUAAGACCCCUUGAAGACUACGAGGUUGAUAGGCUGCGUGUGUAAGUGCCGUGAGGCAUUCAGCUUGGCAGUACUAAUAGGUCGAGGGCUUGACCAC
rnacentral:rRNA from 1 species